rnacentral:tRNA from 2 species
AUUGAAGUGUCUGAUUUAGGUGAUAAACUGUAAAUUUAUUUAAGGACAUAUUUUCCCUUCAAUA